rnacentral:rRNA from 1 species
UGGUGCUUGCACUAUCACUUAGCGGCGGACGGGUGAGUAAUGCUUAGGAAUCUGCCUAUUAGUGGGGGACAACAUUUCGAAAGGAAUGCUAAUACCGCAUACGUCCUACGGGAGAAAGCAGGGGAUCUUCGGACCUUGCGCUAAUAGAUGAGCCUAAGUCGGAUUAGCUAGUUGGUGGGGUAAAGGCCUACCAAGGCGACGAUCUGUAGCGGGUCUGAGAGGAUGAUCCGCCACACUGGGACUGAGACACGGCCCAGACUCCUACGGGAGGCAGCAGUGGGGAAUAUUGGACAAUGGGCGCAAGCCUGAUCCAGCCAUGCCGCGUGUGUGAAGAAGGCCUUAUGGUUGUAAAGCACUUUAAGCGAGGAGGAGGCUACUGAAGUUAAUACCUUCAGAUAGUGGACGUUACUCGCAGAAUAAGCACCGGCUAACUCUGUGCCAGCAGCCGCGGUAAUACAGAGGGUGCAAGCGUUAAUCGGAUUUACUGGGCGUAAAGCGCGCGUAGGCGGCUAAUUAAGUCAAAUGUGAAAUCCCCGAGCUUAACUUGGGAAUUGCAUUCGAUACUGGUUAGCUAGAGUGUGGGAGAGGAUGGUAGAAUUCCAGGUGUAGCGGUGAAAUGCGUAGAGAUCUGGAGGA